GUGAGGAAUAUUGGACAAUGGGCGCAAGCCUGAUCCAGCCAUGCCGCGUGCAGGAAGACGCAUCUAUGGUGUGUAAACUGCUUUUGUACGGGAAGAAACACUCCCCCGUGAGGGAGCUUGACGGUACCGUAAGAAUAAGGAUCGGCUAACUCCGUGCCAGCAGCCGCGGUAAUACGGAGGAUCCAAGCGUUAUCCGGAAUCAUUGGGUUUAAAGGGUCCGUAGGCGGUUUAAUAAGUCAGUGGUGAAAGCCCAUCGCUCAACGAUGGAACGGCCAUUGAUACUGUUAGACUUGAAUUACAAGGAAGUAACUAGAAUAUGUAGUGUAGCGGUGAAAUGCUUAGAUAUUACAUGGAAUACCAAUUGCGAAGGCAGGUUACUACUUGUGGAUUGACGCUGAUGGACGAAAGCGUGGGGAGCGAACAGGAUUAGAAACCCUGGUAGUCC
rnacentral:rRNA from 1 species